rnacentral:rRNA from 1 species
UUCGGUGGCAUUAGCGAAGAGGUCACACCCGUUCCCAUUCCGAACACGGAAGUUAAGCUCUUCAGCGCCGAUGGUACUGCAUGGGUAACUGUGUGGGAGAGUAGGUCGCCGCCGAUU